GACUGCGGAGGGAUCAUUACUGAGUUACCGCUCUAUAACCCUUUGUGAACAUACCUAACCGUUGCUUCGGCGGGCAGGGGAAGCCUCUCGCGGGCCUCCCCUCCCGGCGCCGGCCCCACCACGGGGACGGGGCGCCCGCCGGAGGAAACCAAACUCUAUUUACACGACGUCUCUUCUGAGUGGCACAAGCAAAUAAUUAAAACUUUUAACAACGGAUCUCUUGGUUCUGGCAUCGAUGAAGAACGCAGCGAAAUGCGAUAAGUAAUGUGAAUUGCAGAAUUCAGUGAAUCAUCGAAUCUUUGAACGCACAUUGCGCUCGCCAGCAUUCUGGCGAGCAUGCCUGUUCGAGCGUCAUUUCAACCCUCAAGCACCGCUUGGUUUUGGGGCCCCACGGCACACGUGGGCCCUUAAAGGUAGUGGCGGACCCUCCCGGAGCCUCCUUUGCGUAGUAACUAACGUCUCGCACUGGGAUUCGGAGGGACUCUUGCCGUAAAACCCCCCAAUUUUUUACAGGUUGACCUCGGAUCAGGUAGGAAUACCCGCUGAACUUAAGCAUAUCAAA
rnacentral:rRNA from 1 species